AAGGUCACCUGGCAGGGGUGAAACCAUGAUCACGGAGGUUUACCCAAGGGGAGGCUUAUCCAUUCCAUUCCGGAUGUGCUGACCCCUGCGGUUUCCCCAAAUGUGGGAAACUCGACAGCACAAUUUGUGGUAGUGGGGGACUGUGUUCAUGCCCUGA